rnacentral:rRNA from 1 species
UCGAGAAUCUUCCGCAAUGGACGAAAGUCUGACGGAGCGACGCCGCGUGCGGGAUGAAGGCCCUUGGGUUGUAAACCGCUGUCAGAGGGGAUGAAAUCUUCGAAGGUUAUCCUUCGAAGUUGACAGAGCCUCAAAGGAAGCACGGGCUAAGUACGUGCCAGCAGCCGCGGUAACACGUACUGUGCGAACGUUAUUCGGAAUCACUGGGCUUAAAGGGUGCGUAGGCGGCGAUACAAGUCAGGUGUGAAAUGCCGGAGCUCAACUGCGGCAUUGCGCUUGAAACUGUGUUGCUGGAGUAUUUCAGGGGUGUGGGGAACUGCCAGUGGAGCGGUGAAAUGUGUUGAUAUUGGCAGGAACACCGGAGGCGAAAGCGCCACACUGGGGAAUAACUGACGCUG